rnacentral:rRNA from 1 species
GGGGGGGGGGGGGGGGGGGGGGAGGGGGUGCGGGGCGGGCGGGGGGGGGCGGCGUGGGGGGGGUGCUCGAGUGGCGAGCGGGUGAGUAACACGUGAGUAACCUGCCCUUGCCUUGGGGAUACCUUCAGGAAACUGGGGCUAAUACCGGAUAGGAGCUCCGGCUGCAUGGUGGGGGUUGGAACGUUUCGGCGGUUGGGGAUGGACUCGCGGCGUAUCAGCGUGUUGGUGGGGUAGUGGCUUACCAAGGCUUUGACGGGUAGCCGGCCUGAGAGGGUGACCGGCCACAUUGGGACUGAGAUACGGCCCAGACUCCUACGGGAGGCAGCAGUGGGGAAUAUUGCACAAUGGGCGGAAGCCUGAUGCAGCAACGCCGCGUGCGGGAUGACGGCCUUCGGGUUGUAAACCGCUUUCGCCUGUGACGAAGCGUGAGUGACGGUAAUGGGUAAAGAAGCACCGGCUAACUACGUG